UACGUAGGGGGCGAGCGUUGUCCGGAUUCAUUGGGCGUAAAGAGCUCGUAGGCGGUUCAGCAAGUCGGGUGUGAAACCUCCAGGCUCAACCUGGAGACGCCACCCGAUACUGCUGUGACUUGAGUCCGGUAGGGGACCACGGAAUACCUGGUGUAGCGGUGAAAUGCGCAGAUAUCAGGAGGAACACCGGUGGCGAAGGCGGGUCUCUGGGCCGUAACUGACGCUGAGGAGCGAAAGCGUGGGGAGCGAACAGG
rnacentral:rRNA from 1 species